UACGAAGGGGGCUAGCGUUGCUCGGAAUCACUGGGCGUAAAGGGUGCGUAGGCGGGUCUUUAAGUCAGGGGUGAAAUCCUGGAGCUCAACUCCAGAACUGCCUUUGAUACUGAGGAUCUUGAGUUCGGGAGAGGUGAGUGGAACUGCGAGUGUAGAGGUGAAAUUCGUAGAUAUCGGGAGGAACACCAGUGGCGAAGGCGGCGACCUGGACGGACAUUGACGCUGAGACGCGAAAGCGUGGGGAGCAAACAGG
rnacentral:rRNA from 1 species